rnacentral:rRNA from 1 species
GACGAACGCUGGCGGCGUGCUUAACACAUGCAAGUCGAACGCUGAAGCCCAGCUUGUUGGGUGGAUGAGUGGCGGACGGGUGAGUAGCGCGUGGGUAACCUGCCUCAUACAGGGGGAUAACAGUUGGAAACGACUGUUAAUACCGCAUAAGACCACAGCACCGCAUGGUGCGGGGGUAAAAACUCCGGUGGUAUGAGAUGGACCCGCGUUCGAUUAGCCAGUUGGCGGGGUAACGGCCCACCAAAGCGACGAUCGAUAGCCGAUCUGAGAGGAUGACCGGCCACAUUGGGACUGAGACACGGCCCAGACUCCUACGGGAGGCAGCAGUAGGGAAUCUUCGGCAAUGGACGGAAGUCUGACCGAGCAACGCCGCGUGAGUGAAGAAGGUUUUCGGAUCGUAAAGCUCUGUUGUAAGAGAAGAACGGGUGUGAGAGUGGAAAGUUCACACUGUGACGGUAUCUUACCAGAAAGGGACGGCUAACUACGUGCCAGCAGCCGCGGUAAUACGUAGGUCCCGAGCGUUGUCCGGAUUUAUUGGGCGUAAAGCGAGCGCAGGCGGUUAGAUAAGUCUGAAGUUAAAGGCUGUGGCUUAACCAUAGUACGCUUUGGAAACUGUUUAACUUGAGUGCAAGAGGGGAGAGUGGAAUUCCAUGUGUAGCGGUGAAAUGCGUAGAUAUAUGGAGGAACACCGGUGGCGAAAGCGGCUCUCUGGCUUGUAACUGACGCUGAGGCUCGAAAGCGUGGGGAGCAAACAGG